AUACUGAGGGUGCAAGCGUUAAUCGGAAUUACUGGGCGUAAAGCGCGCGUAGGCGGCUAGAUCAGUUGGAUGUGAAAGCCCCGGGCUCAACUCGGGAACUGCAUUCAAUACUGUCUAGCUAGAGUUUGGUAGAGGGUGACGGAAUUCCAGGUGUAGCGGUGAAAUGCGUAGAUAUCUGGAGGAACAUCAGUGGCGAAGGCGGUUGCCUGGACCAAAACUGACGCUGAGGUGCGAAAGCGUGGGGAGCAAACAGGAUUAGAUACCCUAGUAGUCC
rnacentral:rRNA from 1 species